rnacentral:rRNA from 1 species
CGGACCACUCCUGGCUGAGGGUCGU